GACGAACGCUGGCGGCGUGCUUAACACAUGCAAGUCGAACGGAAAGGCCCUGCUUGCAGGGUACUCGAGUGGCGAACGGGUGAGUAACACGUGGGUGAUCUGCCCUGCACUUCGGGAUAAGCCUGGGAAACUGGGUCUAAUACCGGAACGUAGCCAUUUUUAGUGUGAUGGUUGGAAAGUUUUUUCGGUGUAGGAUGAGCUCGCGGCCUAUCAGCUUGUUGGUGGGGUAAUGGCCUACCAAGGCGGCGACGGGUAGCCGGCCUGAGAGGGUGGACGGCCACAUUGGGACUGAGAUACGGCCCAGACUCCUAAGGGAGGCAGCAGGGGGGAAUAUUGCACAAUGGGCGCAAGCCUGAUGCAGCGACGCCGCGUGGGGGAUGACGGCCUUCGGGUUGUAAACGCCUUUCGCUAGGGACGAAGCUUUUUGUGACGGUACCUAGAUAAGAAGCACCGGCUAACUACGUG
rnacentral:rRNA from 1 species